GGGCUGGAACAGGGAAGACGUCCUGGGAAGAGGAACAAGAUAAGGGAGGAACAGGCCUGUGGGACGGAGAUCAGAGCCAUCCGGACUGACGGGAGAGUAGAACCAUCACAAUAUGCUCAGGGCUCACUCAGGAGUUUGGCUCAGUGUUUAGCUGUGGUUCUCUGC